rfam:Hordeum vulgare subsp. vulgare, WGS project CAJW01000000 data, contig: morex_contig_62944
UAUGUACUCCCUUCGUUUCAAAAUUUUUGUCUUAGAUUUGUUUAGAUANGAAUGUAUCUAGUCAAGUUUUAGUACAUUUAGAUACAUUCGUUUCUAGAUAAAGCUAAGACAAUAAUUUUUGUGCGGAGGGAGUACAAA